rnacentral:lncRNA from 1 species
UUCAAAUUUAAAGUGAAUUUCAACUUUAAAAAUAAAUUCAAAUAUUAAAGUUAAUACUAAAUAUAAUAUUUUAGUUAAACUCUCUACUUUCGGUGAGUUCUAAAUUUUUUGAGCUGAAGUCAAAAGAGUGAGAUUUAGUUAUAACUUACUUUAUCAGCCUACUUUCGUAAAGUAAUAUUCAUACUCAUUUUCGCAAAUCAAACUACCGAUAAGACGUCAUUUUCUAAAAUGCCACUUUUGAUGCUUCACUUUCGGCAAACCAAACAUUCCCAAAAUAAAACAUGUUAUAGUUGUAGAUGUUAUAUUUUUAAUUACAUAUAUUGAAAAGGAAUAAUAUAUAGUAGAACUUUUAAAAUUUUAAAAUAUCAUAUUUAUUCUUGGAUCGAUGACCAAAAUGCUCUUAUUGAUUUUAAAGAAUUUCUUGAAAUAUAGGAUUUUCUAAUGGGAUUUGACGUUAGAACGAUAUUAUGGAUAUUGAGUGAUAAAUUUAAAAUUUUUUAAUUAGUGAGAGACAUAUAAAUAAAAGCUUCUUUUUUUUUUAAACUAUAUUGUAUUUAUAAAAUCAUAUCCAACCCUACAGUCUCUAAAAAUAAUUCUUCUCCAAUCUGAUUUGUCCAAAUUUCACAAUUCUCUAUACUUUCUCUUUUAAGUAACUCGACUUUUUUUUGAUUUUUCUAUAUUUUAGAAUAUUCGUGUAAAAUAAAGAAAAGAUGAUAUGUAUCAUGUAUGGGAGCUGUCUUUUUGCACUGGCUGCAACCAUUGUUAGUUAAUUCGCGAAUUAUUCGCGAAUUAUUAAAAAUUCAAAUUAAACAGUCCGUUUACGAAUUUUUUCUAAAGAAAUUCGAAUUAAACGGUCUGUUUACGAAUUUUUUUCAAAGAAAAAAAAUUAUUCGUGAAUUUUUGGGCCAACCGAAUAAUUCGCGAAUAAUCUGCGAAUAAUUCCCGAAUUAUUAAAAAUCUGAAUAAAAAAUUUAUAAUUUUUAUGUUUAAAUAUAAAUUAUCUUAUAUUUUAUAUUUUAUAUUUUAUAUUUCAUACCGAAUUUAUUUUUCAAGCCGAAUUUUUUAGCAAAUUUAAAAACUAAAAAAUAAAUUUUUAUCAAAUCUGAAUUAACUAACUAUGGUUGCAAC